AACGAACGCUGGCGGCAUGCCUAACACAUGCAAGUCGAACGAGACCUUCGGGUCUAGUGGCGCACGGGUGCGUAACGCGUGGGAACCUGCCCUUAGGUUCGGAAUAACUCCCCGAAAGGGGUGCUAAUACCGGAUAAUGUCUUCGGACCAAAGAUUUAUCGCCUUUGGAUGGGCCCGCGUUGGAUUAGCUAGUUGGUAGGGUAAAAGCCUACCAAGGCGACGAUCCAUAGCUGGUCUGAGAGGAUGAUCAGCCACACUGGGACUGAGACACGGCCCAGACUCCUACGGGAGGGAGCAGUGGGGAAUAUUGGAAAAUGGGCGGAAGGCUGAUCCAGCAAUGCCGCGUGAGUGAUGAAGGCCUUAGGGUUGUAAAGCUCUUUUACCCGGGAUGAUAAUGACAGUACCGAGAGAAUAAGCUCCGGCUAACUCCGUG
rnacentral:rRNA from 1 species